ACAUGGGCACCUACAGAUUUGGUGUCAGAAGUCCUUGCGCCCACCGCCUACAGAUUUGGUAUCAGAAGUGUUCGAACCAUCCAUUACAGCACUGGCCUACAGAUCAGGUAUCUGGAGUCGUCAACACCGCCGCUGCAGGACUGACACCACAGAGUUGCGGUCAGAACUGUCGACUCUAUGCAGACUUGUGGCACUGCCUAUCAAAUAUAAUUCAAGCUGAGGAGAUGAAAGACUUUGGUGAUGGAAGCCACAGGGCUUUAGUUCUCCACUAAGAAUAGGUGUGCUCGGUUGUCUUGGACACUCCUAAUGUCCCCUGUGACAGGUCAGCCUGCAGCGACAAAGUCAUUAGUAUCAGGGUGCACACCCACCUUCCAGGCAACGAGACCAGCAGCUCAUCAUCGACGAUGUUUUCUUUUUCUAUUGUGGUGGGCAUCCGCAUACUAUAAGCGCAGCCAACACACUAUGAGCACCACGUGCUGACGUCACGGGCACAGAGAAGACAUCACCUAUUGGCUGGAGACGCUGUGGCUCUGCUGUUACCACAACAGAAACAUUACAUCAUUGUGAGGCUAACAUCAGUACAGUCAGAAAUGUUUACCUGGCAUUUAAAACUGAUUUUUGUUUACAAUAAACAAAUUAUUUGAGCAACAUGAGAAUACUCAUUGAGA